GUUUGUGGAAACACCACGUAAAUUUAUUACUGCAAAGCUUUCGGAUCGAAAGCUUUGCAGUAAUAAAUUUACGUGGUGUUUCCACAAACAAAAACAA